ACGGGUGAGUAACACGUGGAUAACCUACCUAUAAGACUGGGAUAACUUCGGGAAACCGGAGCUAAUACCGGAUAAUAUAUUGAACCGCAUGGUUCAAUAGUGAAAGACGGUUUUGCUGUCACUUAUAGAUGGAUCCGCGCCGCAUUAGCUAGUUGGUAAGGUAACGGCUUACCAAGGCAACGAUGCGUAGCCGACCUGAGAGGGUGAUCGGCCACACUGGAACUGAGACACGGUCCAGACUCCUACGGGAGGCAGCAGUAGGGAAUCUUCCGCAAUGGGCGAAAGCCUGACGGAGCAACGCCGCGUGAGUGAUGAAGGUCUUCGGAUCGUAAAACUCUGUUAUUAGGGAAGAACAAAUGUGUAAGUAACUAUGCACGUCUUGACGGUACCUAAUCAGAAAGCCACGGCUAACUACGUGCCAGCAGCCGCGGUAAUACGUAGGUGGCAAGCGUUAUCCGGAAUUAUUGGGCGUAAAGCGCGCGUAGGCGGUUUUUUAAGUCUGAUGUGAAAGCCCACGGCUCAACCGUGGAGGGUCAUUGGAAACUGGAAAACUUGAGUGCAGAAGAGGAAAGUGGAAUUCCAUGUGUAGCGGUGAAAUGCGCAGAGAUAUGGAGGAACACCAGUGGCGAAGGCGACUUUCUGGUCUGUAACUGACGCUGAUGUGCGAAAGCGUGGGGAUCAAACAGGAUUAGAUACCCUGGUAGUCCACGCCGUAAA
rnacentral:rRNA from 1 species